rnacentral:rRNA from 1 species
GCUUUCUUCAGGCGGCGACCGGCGCACGGGUGAGUAACGCGUAUCGAACCUGCCUCAUACUCAGGAAUAGCCUUGCGAAAGUAAGAUUAAUGCCCGAUGUUAUUAGGAUAUCACAUGAUGUUUUAAUUAAAGAUUUAUCGGUAUGAGAUGGCGAUGCGUCCCAUUAGCUUGUUGGCGGGGUAACGGCCCACCAAGGCAUCGAUGGGUAGGGGUUCUGAGAGGAAGGUCCCCCACAUUGGAACUGAGACACGGUCCAAACUCCUACGGGAGGCAGCAGUGAGGAAUAUUGGUCAAUGGACGCAAGCCUGAACCAGCCAAGUAGCGUGCAGGAAGACGGCCCUCUGGGUUGUAAACUGCUUUUAGUUGGGAAUAAAGUGCACCACGCGUGGUGUUUUGUAUGUACCAUCAGAAAAAGGACCGGCUAAUUCCGUGCCAGCAGCCGCGGUAAUACGGAAGGUCCAGGCGUUAUCCGGAUUUAUUGGGUUUAAAGGGAGCGCAGGCGGACCUUUAAGUCAGCUGUGAAAUACGGCGGCUCAACCGUCGAACUGCAGUUGAUACUGGAGGUCUUGAGUGCACACAGGGAUACUGGAAUUCAUGGUGUAGCGGUGAAAUGCUCAGAUAUCAUGAAGAACUCCGAUCGCGAAGGCAGGUAUCCGGGGUGCAACUGACGCUGAGGCUCGAAAGUGCGGGUAUCAAACAGGAUUAGAUACCCUGGUAGUCCGCA